GCCCCCCGAGCCCCCGCCCGGCCCCGCCCGCGCCAACUUCCCGGCGGGGGAAGGACCGGAAAGUUGGCGCGGGGCGGGCGGGGAGCGGGCAGAGCCCCCCGACCCCCGGCACCUGCCCGCAGCGCCGGCCCGGCCCGGGGGUGUGUCGGCGGGUGCGGAUGCGCGGCCGGGCGCGGUCCCUCCGUCCGGGCUGUGCCCGUCCCACCCCGCACCUCCUCCCACCGUCUCGGGGGGGCUCCCGCGCCCAGCACCGCUCCCCGGGGCGGCUUCGCCGCUGCGAGGGGCGAGCGGAGCGCGGCUACGCUGGGGCCGGGUCCCCACUGGCCGCCGCCCGGUGAAUGACACGGGUGGGCCCGGCCUCCCCCGACUCUGAUGACACCGCGGAGGCAUUUCCUUUCCCCCGUCCCACUUUGUUCGGCUUGGAUGCUGCUGAAAGGGAGGGCUUGGCAGCGCCGGGAUCUGGAUUCCUCUUUCUAUGAAUAAUGCCCUUAUUAAAUUUUAACAUAUGAACUGAA